rnacentral:rRNA from 1 species
GGGUCAGUAGGUUGGUCGUGCCACCGGUACGUACUGGUCUCACUGAUCUCUCCUUCCUGAAGAACCGUAAUGCCAUUAAUUUGGUGUUGCGGGGAAACAGGACUGUUACUUUGAAAAAAUUAGAGUGUUUAAAGCAAGCUAACGCUUGAAUACAUUAGCAUGGAAUAAUGAAAUAGGACGAUCGAUCCUAUUUUGUUGGUUUCUAGGAUUGACGUA